rnacentral:rRNA from 1 species
GAUGAACGCUGGCGGCGUGCCUAAUACAUGCAAGUCGAGCGAACAGAUGAGGAGCUUGCUCCUCUGACGUUAGCGGCGGACGGGUGAGUAACACGUGGAUAACCUACCUAUAAGACUGGGAUAACUUCGGGAAACCGGAUCUAAUACCGGAUAAUAUAUUGAACCGCAUGGUUCAAUAGUGAAAGACGGUUUUGCUGUCACUUAUAGAUGGAUCCGCGCCGCAUUAGCUAGUUGGUAAGGUAACGGCUUACCAAGGCAACGAUGCGUAGCCGACCUGAGAGGGUGAUCGGCCACACUGGAACUGAGACACGGUCCAGACUCCUACGGGAGGCAGCAGUAGGGAAUAUUCCGCAAUGGGCGAAAGCUUGACGGAGCAACGCCGCGUGAGUGAUGAAGGUCUUCGGAUCGUAAAGCUCUGUUAUUAGGGAAGAACAAAUGUGUAAGUAACUAUGCACGUCUUGACGGUACCUAAACAGAAAGCCACGGCUAACUACGUG